CUGCAGCUUCUGUUUAUUCUCCUCUCUGCAUGUUUGUUCUGUUCUCUCUUAUUCAGCCUGUGUAGUCUGCUUGCAUGUCCUACAGUCUCCACACAAUUGCUUCUAACGUUCCUAUCCAUUUGUUAUUGGCAAAUCAAUUCUGAUCCACCUUCACGCCCGUAUGCACUAAGUCCUAAAAAUAAGCCUCGACGACGCCAUUUCUAUGUCUGACAGGAUAUCAGGCCGGGACAAACGGGACGCUGCCAGCUUUUAUAAAGAGGCGACGGUGGUAGACUCUGAAGUGAUGGACGGAAAGUUUGCGUCACUGCCACUUUGACGUCACAGACUGGGAGUUUUUGAAGAAUAAUAACAAUAGAAAGGUUUCUGUGCGUGCAAGGUAUUUCUGUAACACCUUCUGCAGACACAGCUGGAAAUCUACAUUUUUCUUAUUGUCAACAACAGCUCUGCGCUAAGGCCUUGGAGCCCUCGAUCUUCUCCGAGUGCCGCUUCUUCAUGAAGGCCAGCGGGAGCUUCCAGUCGUUCAUGUCGGCCUCCUCCUCCUCAGCGAGGCCCACGGCUGGGGAGUGAAGCAAGUCUGA